rfam:Myotis davidii contig200274, whole genome shotgun sequence.
GAGACACCCUUAUGGGGCAGGACUUGCUUCAGUGGGGCUUUGGUGCUCACUGAGUCUGCCCCUGGAGUGUGUCACU